rnacentral:rRNA from 1 species
UACAGAGGGUGCGAGCGUUAAUCGGAAUUACUGGGCGUAAAGCGCGCGUAGGCGGCUUUGCAAGUCGGGUGUGAAAUCCCCAGGCUCAACCUGGGAACUGCAUUCGAGACUGCAUUGCUAGAGUAUGGGAGAGGGAAGUGGAAUUUCAGGUGUAGCGGUGGAAUGCGUAGAUAUCUGAAGGAACAUCAGUGGCGAAAGCGACUUCCUGGACCAAUACUGACGCUCAUGUGCGAAAGCGUGGGGAGCAAACAGG